UGCAACUCGACUACAUGAAGCUGGAAUCGCUAGUAAUCGCGAAUCAGAAUGCCGCGGUGAAUACGUUCCCGGGUCCUUGUACACACCGCCCGUCACACCAUGGGAGUCGGAAAUGCCCGAACGCCGGUGACCCAACCCGAAAGGGAGGGAGCCGUCGAAGGCAGGUCGGAUGACUGGGGUGAAGUCGUAACAAGGUAGC
rnacentral:rRNA from 1 species